AUGGUUGGUGGUGUCAUGAAUUCUGACUAUGAGAGUGAGGAGCUACUUAGCCUUGACGAAUCAUCAUCAAGCAGUGAGGAUAAUGAUGAUUCAAGCGACGAUGACAUUCAAGAAGAAGAGGUUGACAAUUCUAUUAGGAGGAGCAAAUACCCAAUCUUUAGGCCAGUAGCCAAAGUUGAGCACCGUAGGUUUGAGAAGGAUAUGUUGUUCAUCUCAACUAAACAAUUUAAAGAUGCUAUAACUGAUUAUGCAGUUGCUGGUGGGUAGGGUAUAAAAUUUGUGAAAAAUGACUUGGUGAGAGUGAGAGCUCGAUGCCAGCCAGGGUGCAAGUUUGUUGCCUACCUUGCAAAGGUGCCAAGGGAGAAGAGUUUUAGAUUGAAAACAUUGAACAUGGAACACACAUGUAGUAGAAGUUAUAGAAAUCCAAGGUGCACAGCAUCAUACAUUGGGAAAAAGUUAGUGAAGAGGGUUAGGAGACAACCUGACAUAAAGCUUAAGGACAUUCAGGAUGCUGUGCAUGAGAAGUAUGUGGUUAACAUAAGUGCAGGCAAGGCAAGUAGGGCUAGAGAAAAGGCUCAAGAUGCUGUUGAUGGGGCCCACACUGCACAGUUCAACCAACUAUGGGAGUACUGUGAUGAGUUGAGAAGGUGUAGUCCUGGGAGCACAGUAUUGAUGAAGGUGCAUACUUUUAAUGAUGGUGAUUUGGCAACCGAGCAUGGAUUGGCAACUGGGCUACCAUAUUUUGAAAGAAUCUACAUCUACCUGGAAGGUUGUAAGAAAGGCUUCUUGGCAGGGUGCAAGCCAAUCAUUGGUCUAGAUGCAUGCCAUCUGAAGACCAAGACAGGUGCUCAGCUGAUGUGUGCUGUUGGCAGAGAUCCCAAUGAUGAAUACUUUGCCUUAGCAUAUGCAGUAGUUGAGGCUGAAACAAAGGACACUUGGACCUGGUUUCUUAAUUUAUUGCUUGCUGACAUAGGAGAUGACAACAAAUAGGUGUUCAUAUCUGACCAACAGAAGGUAUGAUGGUAGAUUUAUUGCUUGUUGAAUUAAUUGUAGUUGAUGGUAGCUUCAUUGCUUGCUGAAUUAAAUGAUUUUGCUUUGCAGGGGUUGGUGAACACCUUUGUUGACAAUUGGCCACAGUACGAGCACAGGAUCUGCUGCAGACAUUUAUACAAUAAUUUGAGGAAACAUCAUCCUAGUGUCCUUAUUAGAGACCUUUUUUGGAAAGCAGCCAAGGCUACCUAUCAGCAAGCAUUUGAGAGGGCAAUGAAUGAGCUAAAGGAGGUGGAUCAAGAUGCAUUCAAAUGGCUGCAAUCUCACUUAACAACUAUCUGGGCUAGGCACAUGUUCACAAGUGAUGGCCAGAGUGACACCGUCCUGAACAACAUGCAUAAUUCUCCUUUUCAUCUGCAUUAUGAUCCAUAGACCUGUGUAAUUCAUGAAUGAUUAAUUCUCUAUUUCUCUCUAUGUGCUUGCAACUUGAAUGUAUUAGGCUAUAUCUGAUAACUAGAUUUCAAGCAAACAGAGAAAUGAUUAUGAAGGUGGAAUCUGAGUUGUGUCCUAAGAUAAGGAAGAGGCUGUACAAGGAGAAGUUGGCAUGCAGCAAGUGGAUAGCAUGUUGGGCUGGUCGUACGAAGUUUGAAGUGAAGAAUGGGCUGGAGAGUUUCAUUGUGGACUUGGAAGAGAAGAAGUGCAGCUGUAGGAAGUGGAACAUACUUGGCAUGCCAUGUUGCCAUGCCAUUUCUUGUAUAUUUUUCAGCAGAGAAGAUGUUGAAAAGUAUGUCAACGCUUGCUACAAAAAGACUACCUACAUUGAUUGCUAUGAACCCAUUAUAGAGCCCAUUAAUGGCCAGAAUAUGUGGAGACCUAGUGGACUACCACCUGUGCAACCCCUUAUCAAGAGGAGACCUCCUGGUAGGCCUAAGAAGAAAAGAGCACUAAAGCCUGAUGAACCUAGAAGUCACAGAAAAAAUAGAGGUCUAGGCAUCUUAAAACAAUGCAAGACCUGUGGGAAAUUAGGACACAACAAGAGGAGCUGCAACAGAGAAGUAGGAGGGAACUCUUCCUUGCCUAGGAGUGCAUCCGAAGCCAGUAGGACCACUAGGAGGGUAAAUAUACUAUUUUGACUUCGAUAUCUCCAUUGUUUUGUUUUUCAGUUGACAAACUAUUAAUUGUUAUUGUGCUUGUGCUUGCAGGUAGCCAAGGAUGGUCAUGGAAACAGCCCAGCUGUAGGCAGUGCACAACCAGCCAAGGAUGUGACCACAAGUGCACCUCCACCCCCCACUGAUAACCAAUCCAAUCCAAGACCAACAAGAUAG
rnacentral:sRNA from 1 species